rnacentral:misc_RNA from 1 species
GUUCUCAUCAAAUCAUAGAUAUACAACAGAUAGUGGGUAUCUUCUCUAGCAUAUCUAAGCAUCUCAUUAGAAAGAGGGCGUAAUCUCCAAUCUGCAUUCUGGUAUUCUUUGUUGGCAGUGAUUCCACAAAAGUGAUGCAAAAGAUACUCCAAACUAUUUCUAUCCAGCUUCAAUACUCUUGAGGCCUGUCCAGUGUCAAACAGAUUGCAGAUAUAUAUGCCAAAGUCCCGUUGAAGCCAUAUAAUAUCUCGAUCUGCUCCAUGCAUGACCUUUUUCUUGGUGGGAUCCUUGAAAACUUCCCUAAGGUAUGGCCCAACAUGUAUUCGAAGCUUUAAAGUAUCUACAAUAAAAUCCUCAGUUCUGGUAGAAAUUUGCAUCAAGCAUGUCAACCCUUGGAAUGAGCGAUACUGAUUAUGUUCCAGAUCAACCGCAAAUUCAUCUACACUGCGCAAUUUAGCUGCCAGCUCCUUCAGAUCUUUGACUUCUUCCACAAGCUUGAAUGGGGUACGCUCCAAGGGGAGUGGUGAUACAGGCUCAAGAUUCCCAGUACUUUUAUCCACAAAAUCCAAAACAGACAGCUUUUCCAGAGGAUGAACAAAUCCCGACCCGUCCUCACUCCUCUGCAACCAAACAUGCUCAAACCGCUGGUUCGAAUUAUUCACCAAUAUAUUAUACUCGUCUUGAGGCUUCUUUAUUGUAGGUAUAUGAAACGGGACCUUUGCUUUCACUGCCUUUGCCUUAAUAUCAGCUACCUUCACUCCAGAAUCACAC